rnacentral:lncRNA from 1 species
UAUAUAUAUAUAUAUAUAUAUAUAUAAUUAAAAAAUUAUUAUAAAUUUAAUUAAAAAAUUAUAAAUAUGACAUUGCAUAGUUACUAAGCACUAUAACAUAUCUUAGCCAUUACCCAAUAAUAAUAUAAAAUAAAAAAUAAUUAAAUAAUCAAAUAUAUAAAUAUAACUUGUAAAAAUUGUAAAACAAAAUAAAAGCAAAGUCACACGCAUUAGCAAAAGCAAAAUAACAUAAGGUCAAGUCACCAACAAUUUGCAAACAAAAAACCUUAAGCUUCCCCGUCGUCACACACACUAGCAACACUCAAUAUUGGUUGGAUAUACUCUCGACACGGAUUUAAAGGACAUCGGCUGCGCAAUUCCAACAAGAGCAAGACAUUUUCUUUCCCAAGUACAUCGAGUCACUUCACAUUCGCUAGUUCCAACUGAACAAUUUCACUAUCACAACCUUCAGGAUUGCCACCCGUACGGCUUCUCCUGGUUCCCAUUGAGGAUGGCUCCGUAAUCACCAUUUUUCAACAGACGCAACAGCCCUGGUGAAGGAUCAGACUGUGUUUGGUUUCUAAAACUUCGCCAUUUUAAUUAAUUGUAGCUUUAUUUGAACAAUUAAUUUCGGUGUUAUAUUAACGUAUUAUUGUAAUUUUAUUUGACCAAUUAAGUUUAGUGUGUUAUAUUUUAAAACUUUGAACGUAUUAUUGUAGCUUGAUUUAAUAAUUAGUCUCGAUGUGUUAUAUUUUGAAACUUUAAAUGUAUUAUUUUAGCUUAUUUAAACAAUUAAUUUAUUUAAAUUUUAUUCAACUUUAAAUUUAAAUGGUAGCAAAAUUAUUUUUAUAUUAAAUUUUGUUAUUUCAUUAGUUGGAGAGAACUAAAAAAUUUUAAUUCGAAAACUAAUGCACAAAAUGCUAGAUUGCAUAUGGAUUGAGUCAAAUCCGCAUCCGAUCCGCAAAUGUAUGGAUUGGAUAUGGAUUGAGUCAAAUCCGCAUCCGAUCCGCAAAUGUAUGGAUUGGAUAUGGAUUGAGUCAAAUCCGCAUCCGAUCCGCAAAUGUAUGGAUUGGAUAUGGAUUGAGUCAAAUCCGCAUCCGAUCCGCAAAUGUAUGGAUUGGAUAUGGAUUGAGUCAAAUCCGCAUCCGAUCCGCAAAUGUAUGGAUUGGAUAUGGAUUGAGUCAAAUCCGCAUCCGAUCCGCAAAUGUAUGGAUUGGAUAUGGAUUGAGUCAAAUCCGCAUCCGAUCCGCAAAUGUAUGGAUUGGAUAUGGAUUGAGUCAAAUCCGCAUCCGAUCCGUAGAUGUAUGGAUUGGAUUUGGAUUGAAUUUUAUCAAUCCAUGGAUUGGAUUGGCUUGAAAAUUUAUAAUCCGCAAAAUCAUGGAUCGGAUAUGGAUUGAUGACCAAUCCAUAAAAUCCGAUCCGCGAACACCCCUAAUUAUUACAUUGUUUGAAACUUAUUACAUUGUUUACCAACUACAAAUAAUUUAUAAUCUGAUAUAUAGUAACAGCACAAUCUUCCAACACAUGUUUAUUGCUUCGCAGAUUCUUUCUUUCGGUAAUCGAAAUGAAGUCUUCUAUUAUUGUUUCCAUGUUCCAAUUUGACAUUUGCUCUGAUUUUUUAGUUUUGACACACAUACAUGCUUUGGUUUAUUGUAAGUCAUCCUGCACCAUUCAAGACAUGCGCAAUAAAAAAACUGAUAAAAUUUACAUGCUGCAAUCUACGUAGUUUCCUAAUGGCAUAUAAAUGCAUGCAAGACAAGCAUAUUAUAUUAACAAUAAAAUUAUUUUAACCGUUGUCCAAGAAAAAGAGGAGAAAUUAUUAACAACAUCAUGAGAGGAAGUCUAACAAUACAGUCAAACAAACAAAAGAAAACCCAUGCUUGGUUGUAUAACAAGCAUGGAAAGUUCAACACAAACACAAACACAGAGACCAAUGGAGUUAACCAAAGUAAUGAAGGAAUUUCUGUGCAACUGUCAGUGGACACACAGAGCAAUGGAGUUAACCAAAGUAGAGCAAUGGAGUUAACCAAAGUAAUGAAGGAAUUUCUGU